rnacentral:rRNA from 1 species
CCCUUAGAUGUUCUGGGCUGCACACGCGCUACACUGAAGGGAUCAGCGUGUUCUUUUCCUGGUCCGAAAGGAUCGGGUAACCCGCUGAACCCCCUUCGUGGUAGGGAUCGGAGCUUGCAAUUAUUCUCCGUGAACCGGGAAUUCCCAGUAAGCGCAAGUCAUAAGCUUGCGUUGAUUACGUCCCUGCCCUUUGUACACACCGCCCGUCGCUACUACCGAUUGGACGUUUUAGUGAGGAUUUUGGACUGAGCCAAUGGUGGUUCACACCACUGUUGUGCAUGGAAAGAUCUCCAAACUUGAGCGUUUAGAGGAAGUAAAAGUCGUAACA